UACGUAGGGUGCGAGCGUUAUUCGGAAUUACUGGGCGUAAAGCGUGCGCAGGCGGUUUUGCAAGUCAGGUGUGAAAUCCCCGGGCUCAACCUGGGAACUGCAUUUGUGACUGCAUGACUAGAGUACGGCAGAGGGGGAUGGAAUUCCGCGUGUAGCAGUGAAAUGCGUAGAUAUGCGGAGGAACACCGAUGGCGAAGGCAAUCCCCUGGGCCUGUACUGACGCUCAUGCACGAAAGCGUGGGGAGCAAACAGG
rnacentral:rRNA from 1 species